GAUGAACGCUGGCGGCGUGCCUAAUACAUGCAAGUCGAGCGAACAGACGAGGAGCUUGCUCCUCUGACGUUAGCGGCGGACGGGUGAGUAACACGUGGAUAACCUACCUAUAAGACUGGGAUAACUUCGGGAAACCGGAGCUAAUACCGGAUAAUAUAUUGAACCGCAUGGUUCAAUAGUGAAAGACGGUUUUGCUGUCACUUAUAGAUGGAUCCGCGCCGCAUUAGCUAGUUGGUAAGGUAACGGCUUACCAAGGCAACGAUGCGUAGCCGACCUGAGAGGGUGAUCGGCAACACUGGAACUGAGACACGGUCCAGACUCCUACGGGAGGCAGCAGUAGGGAAUCUUCCGCAAAGGGCGAAAGCUUGACGGAGCAACGCCGCGUGAGUGAUGAAGGUCUUCGGAUCGUAAAACUCUGUUAUUAGGGAAGAACAAAUGUGUAAGUAACUAUGCACGUCUUGACGGUACCUAAUCAGAAAGCCACGGCUAACUACGUG
rnacentral:rRNA from 1 species